ensembl:lncRNA
CGCAGCCCCGCGGGGAGGCAGCCAGGGGCCCCCCGGCUACAGCGUGACCCCCGCCCCGCCGCCGCCUCCGCCCGCCCCCAGGAAGAGAAACAAAACAAAACCCCGGCACCGCCACGCUCUCCCUCCUGCUCCUCCUGGCAUUCGGUGGCGGCUACCUUUUCGUGGUUUUUCUUUUUUUCUUUUUUUUUUUCUUUUUCUUCUUCUUCUUCUUUUUUUUUUUCCUUGGGGAUUCUCGUUUCUCCUGCCAGACUGACUUGCACCUUCUCGAUAAUUUCUCUUCCCCUCGUUUUUUAUACUCUUCUCCCUGCUUCCAAACCCUGUGUCUGUGUGUUUCAGUACUAUCACAACCUCUGCUAAAAAUAGAUCUUUUUAUAUACCCUUCCUCCUCUCUGACCCCAUCCAACACCCCUUGUUAAGGCAGAACAUCAGGAGGAUGUGGGCAGGCUGAUGGGCAUCAGGGAGCUGGAGAAGGAAAUGCAUGGAGAGUUGAGUGGGGAGGAACCUGAUGAAAUUCAGCAAGGAAUCUUAUAAAAUCCACUGCCCCGCGUCAACCUUUCAUCCAUGUGACUUUGAAUUUGCUGUUUCCUCAUUAAACAUCUCCAGAUUAAUACUGUUAUCCAAGUAUGUGAGUUUUGCUCACUUUCUUUUAUCUAAGUAUUUAAAAAGCAAAUAAUCUGCUGAGUGUUCUUGUUCCGGUUCCUUGGCCUUUUGAACGGUCAAAACGUAACAGAGAACUGAAAUGCAUUCUUUCUGUGGUACAUCCAAGGCAACGCAGAAAAAAAUGUAUCCACUGAAGAACACAAAUCAAUGUCACAAAUCAGAACAAACUGAUAAAUUGCAAUUUGCAGAUGAUUGCAAUAGGAAAUUAAUGCAAAAGCUUUCAAUAGAGCAGAUUUCACUAAGAAUUGUUUUUUGUUUUUCAUUGCGUAUCCAGAGAUUUUUAUGUGAAUAGCAUUGAAUCCUUUCAUGAGUCUGCAUUUGAUCACAAAAGAGUGAUAAUACUUCAAAAUGGAACUGACAAAUGAGAUAUUUGUAUAUGAACAGUCUCACUGAGUUACCUCUGAUUUUUGAAGGACUUUCAGAAAGGAAAGGAGAAAGGAAUUUAAUACUUUGCCAUUUAUUUUGGGAAGCAAGUAUUUGAGUCAUAUGCUGUGAAUGACUCAAAUCUGGAUGUUUGAAUUUCUUAUCAAUAUUUUGACAGAAAGGAUGUAACAUGCAGUCUAAAAAUCAGUUAAAAUGGUGGGAAAGGAUACCUGUGAAUAUGGCUCAAAGAUGUGUUUCAUUGUACUGUCACUUGGUCGUGGUACUUGAUCACAGUAAAAAGCAGCUAUGAAAUUUAGAUUUAGCAGAAAAAAGAUUAUGUCUGAAGAAGUAGCAAUUUCAGUGGUCAGUUCUCUAAUGUUAAUAAUGUAUCACCAUCGUGUAAAAACGUAGAGAAAUUUUGAUGCUGCUAUAUCUACCCCAUAUUAACUCACAUAAACACUUGGAACAGGCAAUUACAGACAAAACAAAACCAGCAGGCAUUCUGAAUGAUCCCAUCAGAGAUGGAGUUUGGUUCUAGAUAUUAUGGUUAUUUAUGUCCUGUAACCCUCCUGUAGUGGUCAGACUACUUAGUUCCUUUGCAACACAAGUUCAUGUGACAGUGAAAAUGAACUAACUAGAGCUUUGCUGUGUUGGAGCACCAUUGCAGUGUCAUGCUCCAUGAAUGCUACCAAGAAAAUGCAUGUGAACUCAUAUUUCAGUUUUGAAUUAAGUUCCUUUUAGAGGCUUUCAGUUGAAAGAUAGGAAGAAAUGCUUACCAAAGGCUACUGAUAAAAUCUACACUUUGUUUCUUCUUUUUAAAUAGCAAAAGGUGCAACCUCCCUUCUGGCAAAAAGAUGUAAAUUGUGAAUUUUAAGAAACAAAUCCUGCUGCACAGCAGGUUUAGACAGGCUGCUACAGUUGGGGCCUUAAGGCAUUCUGUGGCUUCCCUGUGGUAAGCCAUGGUUCUCAUUUAUAAAGCCAGGAGAAUUCCCACUGUUGUUAUAAUCAUGUGCAUGAUCCUUCUUCCAUCUGAGUGCUCUCAGCAUCAGUUAAAAUUGAAAAAUAGGCCAAAUGUUGGUUGUUGUUAUGUUAUCAGCUAUUCAAAAGAAUAUGUUUUAAUUUUUUUCCCAAGGAAGAGAAUUAAGAUUUAUAAAAGGAAGGAAAACUGUAACAGCAACAAAACGCUAAACAAACAAACAAACAAACAAAAAAGCUAAAAAAAAAAAAAAAAUAAGAAGAAAAGAAAGACAGAAUGAUUCAGUAAGCUGGUGAAUGUCUUCCUGAGUCAGAUAUGGCAGUAAAGAAACCAGAAUUUAUUUCUGGAGAAAUUUUUCAGGUUAAACAUUCCCAUUCUCCUGUGAACUCUAUUUUUCCAAAUACAAGAAAUCCUUUUAAAAAAGGUCCGUGAUCUUUGCAGUGGUAUACACUCCCGUGUCUGGUCUGCUUGAAUUCUUCGUCUCUUCUAUUAACCAACAUUGGUGGACUCAUUUUAGCAUGUCCUUUUGAUUCAUUUUAUUCUUUUGAUACAUAGAAAAUGUAUGUCAGUGAGUUUCACAGGUCAUUUAAGUUUUGUUGGUAAAAAUACUUCGGCUUCUUUCAAGCCUUCUCUUUGAAAAUUUGAUUUAAUAUCCUCUUCUUCGUGUAUUGUGAAAAAAAAAAAAAAAAAAAAAAGAAGAAGAAGAAGAAAGAAAGAAAGAGUAUCUUCUCCAUACUUAUCUUCUCUGGGUCUUUCAUGAAGCACCAUGAAACCUCUAUCUUCUCCCUUUCAAUCUUCUGCCAUUUGUUUUUCACUGCUAGAAGUGCUGCUCUUCCACUUCUUGCCCUCUGUGGGAGCUAUUUCAGAAAUUUCAUAGUGCCUGCUGCCCUCCUGUGUAGAAACAGGGAAAAGCCUUGCAUGGAAGCACCUCUGGAGAACACCUGAGACCAUCUGCAGUUGAAACAGGAUUUUGAGCUGUGUUAAUCAUUGUCCCAGCAAGACAAGUCCUGAAUACUUCCAGCAAGGGAGGUUCCACCACUUCUAAAGACAACCUAUUCCAACAUUUUGUUGUUCCCACAGUGAAGAACUUGUAUCCAGAUGCAAUUUCCUUUGAAGCACUUCAUGCACAUUCCCUUGUCCUGUCACUGUGUCCUUUUAAAAAGAAUAUCUCCAUCUUUUCUAUAACUACUUUUUAGGUAUUGGGAAAACAUGAUUAGACUCUGUCCUGCCCUUUCUCUUCUUUAGGUUGAGCAAGUCAAAUUCCUUCAACCUUUUACCAUGCAUCAAGUUUUUCAACUCUGUGAUUAUCCUGGUGGCCCUCCACAGCACCAUAUCCAACAUUUCAGUGUGUCUUUUGUAUUGAGUGCUGAAAACUGGACUUAUUAUUCCAGUUAUGACUUAACAAAUGCCAAUUAGAGUGAAAUAGGGACAUUUUUUAUCUUUUAUUUUACUUGUUCUGAUGUGUUCCAGGCUCCAUGUUAGUUUCUUGCUGCAAAGAUGCACCGUCAGCUCAUGAGCACCUUGUUCUCCACUGAGAUAUAGCUGUGCUAUAUCAAGCCAGAAAGUCCCUGGCCAUUAAUUCUGCUUGGGAUGAUUCCUUCUCAGAUGCAGGACAUAAUAAUCACCUUCAUUAAACCUCACUCAAUUCGUGUUGGGCCAGUCUUCCAGUCCACUGAGAUCUCUGUAUGGUAUAGUGUGUAGCACAUACCUUGUCAUGUAUCGAUUCUUUCUCAGAGAGUGAGGAGCAGAACCGUGUGCAUCAGUGAAAGCCUGGAUCUGUGCCAUUUUGCACAAUAACAUAAUAAAGACAAAUAGUAAUAAUAAUUUCUAAUAUAAACAAGAAUACUAUUAGUAUUUUAGUAAAUUCUUACAAAUGCAUUAAAAUAAUAAUAAUAAUCUAAAAUUAUGUUUUCUUCUUCUAAAAUUAUGUUUUUAUUAUGUUUUCUUCUCUGUUCUUUUUCUGUUGAUAAUAUCAUACGUGCCUUUUUGACCACUAGCACAACCGCCUUGAUCUUUUCACAG